rnacentral:rRNA from 1 species
AUUGAACGCUGGCGGAAUGCUUUACACAUGCAAGUCGAACGGCAGCACGGGGGCAACCCUGGUGGCGAGUGGCGAACGGGUGAGUAAUACAUCGGAACGUGCCCAGUCGUGGGGGAUAACGUAGCGAAAGUUACGCUAAUACCGCAUACGAUCUAUGGAUGAAAGCGGGGGACCGUAAGGCCUCGCGCGAUUGGAGCGGCCGAUGUCAGAUUAGGUAGUUGGUGGGGUAAAGGCCUACCAAGCCGACGAUCUGUAGCUGGUCUGAGAGGACGACAAGCCACACUGGGACUGAGACACAGCCCAGACUCCUACGGGAGGCAGCAGUGGGGAAUUUUGGACAAUGGGCGCAAGCCUGAUCCAGCCAUUCCGCGUGCAGGACGAAGGCCUUCGGGUUGUAAACUGCUUUUGUACGGAACGAAAAAGCUCUUGUUAAUACCAAGAGUCCAUGACGGUACCGUAAGAAUAAGCACCGGCUAACUACGUGCCAGCAGCCGCCGUAA